AACAGAAGCUUCGGUGGAAGAUUACUAAUGAGAGUGGCGAACGGGUGAGUAACGCGUGAGCAACCUGCCUAUGACAGUGGGAUGGCCUCGGGAAACCGGGAUUAAUACCGCAUAAAAUCGUAGAAACACAUGUUUUAACGGUCAAAGAUUUAUCGGUCAUAGAUGGGCUCGCGUCUGAUUAGCUAGUUGGUGAGAUAACAGCCCACCAAGGCGACGAUCAGUAGCCGGUCUGAGAGGAUGAACGGCCACAUUGGAACUGAGACACGGUCCAAACUCCUACGGGAGGCAGCAGUGGGGAAUAUUGCACAAUGGGGGAAACCCUGAUGCAGCGACGCCGCGUGAACGAAGAAGGUAUUCGUAUCGUAAAGUUCUGUCCUAUGGGAAGAUAAUGACAGUACCAUAGAAGAAAGCUCCGGCUAAAUACGUGCCAGCAGCCGCGGUAAUACGUAUGGAGCGAGCGUUGUCCGGAAUUAUUGGGCGUAAAGGGUACGCAGGCGGUUUAAUAAGUCGAAUGUUAAAGAUCGGGGCUCAACCCCGUAAAGCAUUGGAAACUGAUAAACU
rnacentral:rRNA from 1 species